CACCAUGGAUAAUCAUCUCCGGCUCAAAAGCAAUUCCUCCCAUGGCCCGGGUUCCUGCGCUGAACCUCGAAAAGAGAAAGGGGUCGCCGGAAGAUUUUUCCGGUGACUUGUGUCAACAUGCAAAGAAUGUCUAGAAAUAGAUUUUUCUACUAGUUUUUGCUAAUUUGAUGGCGGGGUUGUCUUUAUGUCAUAAAGUUCACUAAUUUAAACAUAAACAUGUUACAUAUCAAGAAACAACUACAACAUAGUACAACAAAACCAAGAUUACUAGAGAGUUAUUUUCCUAGGAUUCGUCACAAACUGAUCACACUAUCGUUCGAUCACUCCAAGUAAUUUUCCAUAUCGGUGUACAUACCCUCGUGUUUUUCAUGAUUCUCGUUCUGACCGCCACUGGGCUUGCCACUGAGCCCUUCCGUAAGUGCAUUAAAGAAAGUUAACCCGUUAGGCCAUUUGAUGUCGUUUUCAGCAUGAUCAUGACCCAUAAUGUUUCCCAUAUGUGGUUCGGACGAGUGAGGAUGGAGGAACAUGUGUGUCUCGUCUUUAGGCUGGAACCCAAGUCUUGCAGGGUUUUGGAAACUUUGCGAUGGUAGUCGGUUCAGUGGGGCCCAGUUGAAGGCAGGAGACGGGUGGAUCGGGACCGUUGGUUGCUUUAAUGGAAUCCCAGUUGAAGAAGGUGAGGAUGUUGAUGCAAAUAAUUGGGACAGAUAGAAGCCAGAUUGGUAGCCAAGUGAUUCAAAUGUAUGCCUCAUUCUAAGCACAAAAAAAAAAAAACACUUUAAGUUGUUUCAAGUUAUGAACUUUUGACAUACUAUUAUUCUUGAUUAUAGGUUAAUAGGUUAUUAACUUAUUAUAAUCCUGAAAUUAAAAAUAAACACCUACCAAGUACCCACCCUUCUCCAUAAUUAUACAACUGAAUUGACAUCUUGCUGAAGGCUUUUCUAACAAGAUCUUCUCCUGCAUCCAUAUCUUCAACACAAUCCAUCAUUCUUUCUCUGCAAAACCCAUCUUCCCACAUCAACAUCCUGCAACAACAAACCAUACCAAAUUAAUCAAAUAAAUUAAUCAACAUCCCCUGUUUCAACAUCUACUUCAAGAAACAAACAGUUUAGUAACCUACAAGCUACCAACAUCAUCUCCAACUUUGCACCCAUUACCACCUCUAACUCGCCUGAAAAAAAAAACACAUAAAAAGGUUAAAAAAAAUACAUAAAAACAAAAACCCAUUUGAGUAAAGAUCAAAGUUGCAAUCUUUUUAAGUGGGGUUGAAUUAAUUUGCAAAAAAGAUUAGAACUUUACGGGCGAGGACGAAUGGUCCAGAAAACAGAGUAAGUCCACUCAGAGUUGAAACAAAUGUUUCUUAGAGUUUCAUGAAGAGCCAACAUUCCAACUGCUUCUUUGUUUCUAUCUGUUGUUGAACCUGAGCCCACCAUGUCUCUCUUUUCGUUGUCACUUUUACUCUUUUAACACCUCAAAUUUCAACAGUCAAGAACAGAGUGGGUUGAUCAUCAGUCUCUGCUAAAUUAAUAAAGUUUAUUAUGAAAACAGAGGAGUGAAAAUGGAAAGAAGGCGGUGAGAGUAAAAAGGGUUUGCUCGUUUAUUUAAUUUGUGGGUUAAAUACAUUGAUUAACUCACCGAAUUCUUGAAAGUUAAUAAAUGAUGAUGCUUUUAACUCGUCUUGCUCGUGCAAUAAAAUUAUAUUAAUUUUCCUGAUACCUUAUGUCGUUUUCGCCAUUAUAUUUGAAGUAAUUCCUGUGGAUUAGACUCACUCACAGUACAUGUGCAAUUUAGUGGUAUUUAAUAGCUUUCUAAUUGUUUUGGUUUUGGUCAGAUUAGUUUUGACAAAAAUAGUAAUUGUACCAUUUUUAGAUAUUCUAAGUUGCAGAGGGCAUGAAAGAGUGUCGUUAUAUGGUUGUCACGUCAGCACGCGUUAAAAAGUGGAAUGGUGCAAAAAAGGGAGAAGUGGGAGCGGAGUGGUUAGUGACGUUUUUAUGAUAAAUAAAUAAAUAUUAAACAAUUAAAACACAUACAAAAUUCAUCCACCAAUCAAGAGCCUCCACUUCACAACCCAAAUGCCCCUAUGCCGGUGGAAAACACCCCGCCCUCAUCACCACGCCAUGUCCACGUCACCACAAGGGGUGGUGUUCCCGGCAUGGAAGGGCCACCGCGCCACUUUUCGACGCCCACACCGCGUGGUCUUAGUUGGUUGGUAAAGACUCUCGCGUUUUGGGAGAAGAUUGGGUUUCCGUUUUGGCAUCGGGUAAAUUUAGAAUAUACUAUCUGGUUUACAAUUGGGAUAAAGUAACAUUUGAUGUUCAAAAAUUAAAAGGAAUUGCUAUGGUUUUCGAGAAUGAUAAAGGAGAUUGGUUUGAUGGUUUUAACGAAUAUUUUUUCUGAUUAUUAGACUACAAUCUAGUAUAAAUGCAUAAAUAUAUACUUCAAAAGUAAUAUAUAUAGAAUUAGGGUGAAAUGAAAACCUCUAUAAGUUCUGAGAACAUAGAUAACUUGAUAUUACAAAAGGUGUUUUUUUUAAACAAUUUUAGCAAA
rnacentral:lncRNA from 1 species